rnacentral:rRNA from 1 species
CAGUAGCCGCGGGAAUACGUAGGGUGCGAGCGUUAAUCGGAAUUACUGGGCGUAAAGCGUGCGCAGGCGGUUGUGUAAGACAGGUGUGAAAUCCUCGGGCUUAACCUGGGAACUGCGCUUGUGACUGCACAGCUAGAGUAUGGCAGAGGGGGGUGGAAUUCCACGUGUAGCAGUGAAAUGCGUAGAGAUGUGGAGGAACACCGAUGGCGAAGGCAGCCCCCUGGGCCAAUACUGACGCUCACGCACGAAAGCGUGGGGAGCAAACAGGAUUAGAUACCCGCGUAGUCCCUGUCUCUUAUAC